rnacentral:rRNA from 1 species
UGGGGAAUAUUGCACAAUGGGCGGAAGCCUGAUGCAGCGACGCCGCGUGGGGGAUGAAGGCCUUCGGGUUGUAAACUCCUUUCGACAGGGACGAAGCUUUUGUGACGGUACCUGUAUAAGAAGCACCGGCUAACUACGUGCCAGCAGCCGCGGUAAUACGUAGGGUGCGAGCGUUGUCCGGAAUUACUGGGCGUAAAGAGCUCGUAGGUGGUUGUCGCGUCGUCUGUGAAAUUCCGGGGCUUAACUCCGGGCGUGCAGGCGAUACGGGCUGACUUGAGUGCUGUAGGGGAGACUGGAAUUCCUGGUGUAGCGGUGAAAUGCGCAGAUAUCAGGAGGAACACCGAUGGCGAAGGCAGGUCUCUGGGCAGUAACUGACGCUGAGGAGCGAAAGCAUGGGUAGCGAACAGG